UACAGAGGGUGCGAGCGUUAAUCGGAUUUACUGGGCGUAAAGGGUGCGUAGGCGGUCGGGUAAGUCUGAUGUGAAAUCUCACAGCUUAACUGUGAAACUGCAUUGGAUACUAUCCGGCUCGAGGAAUGGAGGGGAGACUGGAAUACUUGGUGUAGCAGUGAAAUGCGUAGAUAUCAAGUGGAACACCAGUGGCGAAGGCGAGUCUCUGGACAUUUCCUGACGCUGAGGCACGAAAGCCAGGGGAGCAAACGGG
rnacentral:rRNA from 1 species